GUAUGCUCUGCUGUGCAAACCCACGAGUUUGAUAUCUCUAAUAUUUUGUAUUUAAUAUCUGUAACCAACUUUUCUCUAUAAUUGUUUGAUAUUUGAAUAAAAAGUUCUUAUGAUGAUUCACUGAAAUUAGUGACCUUUUUAUGUUGGUUCAUAUUGAUAAGUAAAAGUUUUCCAUUGCAGAGCAUCAGUCUGACUCUUGUGUGUUGUUGGAUUGCUAAUUGCCCUAUAUCUUUUACUUUCAUGGUGCUUUUUUCUCUAAGUCCAACUUCUUGUCUGCAAAGAGAGCUAAAUAAAAGCUUGGAAUAGAGAUUUAGUCUAUAUUAUUCUUGUUAAAUUUGAGAUACUUAGCAGCUCUAGAACUGAGUAGAGACCUCCUGAAAACAAUGAUUUAAUCCAGUGUUCAAGAUACAAUAUGUUAGGAUUUGUAGUUCUGAUUCUUAUAUAUAUAUAUAUGAAGUAAUAGUGCAGAAAGUUUUGAAAAAUAAAUUCUAACCGUUAGCAUUCGGCUCAUCAUAGUAUGGAGAGAAAAUGUGCUUCUGGUAACUUAUGAACUAAAAACCGCUUAAUUGCACAUUUUCCAAGGAGGUUUUUUCAUCUAAGUUGUAGGACUAAAAUCCACAUAUUUAUCAAAGGAGAUUUAUGAAAUUCUUGGCUUCUGUGAUAGUUCUAUGGUGCUAUAAUCACAACAAUAUUCUUAUGAUUCUGGAAUGAUAAAACUUCAAUUCCAAAUCAAAUGGAGAAAAUGUCAACAUGACUUUGAUUUGUAGCUAUUCCAUUGUUCGUGUGCUCUUGAAGGAUUACAAGUGUGAGAUCCCACAUCGGUUGGAAAGGGGAACGAAACAUGCCUUAAAAGAGGGUGUGGAUACCUUUCCCUUGCGAAGCGUUUUGACAAAACUGUGCAGGCUGCGCUCAAAGCAGACAAUAUCGCAUGCGGGUGGACUGGGCUGUUACAGAUGGUAUCAGAGCCAGUACCCAGAUCGGUGUGCUAGCGAGGAUGCUGGGUCCUAAGGGGGGAGGAUUGUGAGAUCCCACAUCGGUUGGAAAGGGGAACGAAACAUGCCUUAAAAGAGGGUGUGGAUACCUUUCCCUUGCGACGCGUUUUGACAAAACCGUGCAGGCUGGGCCCAAAGCAGACAAUAUCGCAUGCGAGUGAACUGGACUGUUAUAACAAGCCCCCAGGCCAUGGUUUUUAAGUGGUUAGUUAGAUUAUGGACUUGGAUCAAAAUGGGAAAGUCGUAUGUUCUGGUUGUAAUUUGUUAGCAUUUACCAAUACUUCAGUUGAAAAUGUUGAGGAAAAAAAAAAGAAAAGAAAAAAAUUGGAUAUGAGAGGGUGGGACCCAACCCGAUGAUGAAAUGCAUGCCAUUCUUGGAGGACCCAUUAAUGAGGAGGAAUGAAAGCAUAUUUGACCAUCUUUACUCUCGGUUGUGCCACGAUAAGAGAUAUUGAAGUCGAGAAGAA